AUAACUUCGGGAAACCGGAGCUAAUACCGGAUAAUAUUCGAACCGCAUGGUUCGAUAGUGAAAGGUGGUUUUGCUAUCACUUAUAGAUGGACCCGCGCCGUAUUAGCUAGUUGGUAAGGUAACGGCUUACCAAGGCGACGAUACGUAGCCGACCUGAGAGGGUGAUCGGCCACACUGGAACUGAGACACGGUCCAGACUCCUACGGGAGGCAGCAGCA
rnacentral:rRNA from 1 species